GGUGAACGCUAGCUACAGGCUUAACACAUGCAAGUCGAGGGGAAACGAUAUUGGAAGCUUGCUUCCGAUAGGCGUCGACCGGCGCACGGGUGAGUGACGCGUAUCCAACCUGCACAUCACUUGGGGAUAACCUUGCGAAAGUAAGACUAAUACCCAAUGACGUCUCUAGAAGACAUCUGAAAGAGAUUAAAGAUUUAUCGGGGAGGGAUGGGGAUGCGUCUGAUUAGCUUGUUGGCGGGGUAACGGCCCACCAAGGCGACGAUCAGUAGGGGUUCUGAGAGGAAGGUCCCCCACAUUGGAACUGAGACACGGUCCAAACUCCUACGGGAGGCAGCAGUGAGGAAUAUUGGUCAAUGGGCGAGAGCCUGAACCAGCCAAGUAGUGUGCAGGAUGACGGCCCUAUGGGUUGUAAACUGCUUUUAUAAGGGAAUAAAGUGGGAGUCGUGACUCCUUUUGCAUGUACCUUAUGAAUAAGGACCGGCUAAUUCCGUGCCAGCAGCCGCCGUAA
rnacentral:rRNA from 1 species